AGAAUACGCCCAACAGGAAACUAAUAAUAAACAAAAACAUUCGUAGCAGAAUUGAUGUUGAUAACAAAAAGGUUCUUUUGCAGACUUUUAAAUUCAUUCAGGUGUUUUUGGCAUCACUGCAAUUGUUUACGAGAGAAAAUGUUGACGUUUAUGGAUAGGGAGCUGAUGCGUUUGCGUCUGACGUGAGAGUGAGAGCGCGUCUCUCGUAAAUGUCAUUUUGUUGGAAUAUUUUGGAGAUGACGGACGUGUGAUUGUUUUCAUGGAGGAGGAUUUUGAUUAUUUUUAACGGUUUACUACAUGGCAUAGUCGGUAGACUUUUGAAUUCAGUCAGGUGUUUUUGGCAUCACUGCAAUUGUUUACGAGAGAAAAUGUUGACGUUUAUGGAUAGGGAGCUGAUGCGUUUGCGUCUGACGUGAGAGUGAGAGCGCGUCUCUCGUAAAUGUCAUUCUGUUGGAAUAUUUUGGAGAUGACGGACGUGUGAUUGUUUUCAUGGAGGAGGAUUUUGAUUAUUUUUAACGGUUUACUACAAUUUCAAACUGGAUUCGUCUAUUAUUUCGAGCAGUUUGCUUGACGUUUCAAAUCAAGUUGCAAAAUUAUGCUGUGUACACGCUAACCAGGCGAUCUCAAUUUUGAGAUGGGCAACGUUGAGAUGAGCAACUCGAUCUCAAUUUUGAGAUCCAGAAGGCGAUCUCAAAAUUGAGAUGGGUUGGGUUGGGUGAAAAUCGCCGGGAAUGCGGAUAUCGGGUCGGGGAGGACUAUUUUUGAUGGAAUAAUAAAAUAAAUGAAAAUUGAUUUUAUUGAAAA